rnacentral:rRNA from 1 species
AGAGUUUGAUCCUGGCUCAGGACGAACGCUGGCGGCGUGCCUAAUACAUGCAAGUCGAGCGAGCGGAACUAACAGAUUUACUUCGGUAAUGACGUUAGGAAAGCGAGCGGCGGAUGGGUGAGUAACACGUGGGGAACCUGCCCCAUAGUCUGGGAUAACAUUUGGAAACAAAUGCUAAUACCGUAUAACCAUGAUGACCGCAUGGUCAUUAUGUAAAAGGUGGUUUUGCUAUCGCUUUUGGAUGGACCCGCGGCGUAUUAACUAGUUGGUAGGGUAACGGCCUACCAAGGUGAUGAUACGUAGCCGAGUUGAGAGACUGAUCGGCCACAAUGGGACUGAGACACGGCCCAUACUCCUACGGGAGGCAGCAGUAGGGAAUCUUCCACAAUGGGCGCAAGCCUGAUGGAGCAACGCCGCGUGAAUGAAGAAGGUCUUCGGAUCGUAAAAUUCUGUUGUUAGAGAAGAAUAUGAGUAAUAGUAACUGAUUAUUCACUGACGGUAUCUAACCAGCAAGUCACGGCUAACUACGUGCCAGCAGCCGCGGUAAUACGUAGGUGGCAAGCGUUGUCCGG